rnacentral:tRNA from 1 species
CGGAAAUCAUUGAUGUUGAUUAAUAUGGGAUUAUUAUCUCUAGUGCUAAAUGCUUAGAAGUUUUUUA